rnacentral:rRNA from 1 species
AGAGUUUGAUCAUGGCUCAGAUUGAACGCUGGCGGCAGGCCUAACACAUGCAAGUCGAGCGAGAAAGCACUUCGGUGCGAGUAGAGCGGCGGACGGGGGAGGAAAGCGUAAGGAAUUUGCCAGUAGUGGGGGACAACUUAGGGAAACUUAAGCUAAUACCGCAUACGCCCUAAGGGGGAAAGCAGGGGAUCUUCGGACCUUGCGCUAUUGGAUGAGCCUGCGUCGGAUUAGCUAGUUGGUGAGGUAAUGGCUCACCAAGGCGACGAUCCGUAGCUGGUCUGAGAGGAUGAUCAGCCACACUGGAACUGAGACACGGUCCAGACUCCUACGGGAGGCAGCAGUGGGGAAUAUUGCGCAAUGGGGGCAACCCUGACGCAGCCAUGCCGCGUGUGUGAAGAAGGCCCUAGGGUUGUAAAGCACUUUCAAUUGGGAAGAAAAGCUGUUGCUUAAUAAGUAACAGCCCUGACAUUACCUUUAGAAGAAGCACCGGCUAACUCCGUGCCAGCAGCCGCGGUAAUACGGAGGGUGCGAGCGUUAAUCGGAAUUACUGGGCGUAAAGCGCGCGUAGGCGGUUAGUUAAGUCGGAUGUGAAAGCCCCGGGCUCAACCUGGGAACUGCAUUCGAUAUGGGUAGCUAGAGUACAGUAGAGGGAAGCGGAAUUCCUAGUUAGCGGUGAAAUGCGUAGAUAUUAGGAAGAACACCAGUGGCGAAGGCGGCUUCUUGGAUUGAUACUGACAUGAGGUGCGAAAGCGUGGGGAGCAAACAGGAUUAAUCCCCUGGUAGUCCACGCCGUAAACGAUGUCUACUAGCCGUUGGGAGACUUGAUUUCUUAGUGGCGCAGCUAACGCGAUAAGUAGACCGCCUGGGGAGUAUGUCGCAAGAUUAAAACUCAAAUGAAUUGACGGGGGCCCGCACAAGCGGUGGAGCAUGUGGUUUAAUUCGAUGCAACGCGAAAAACCUUACCAGGCCUUGACAUCCUGAGAACUUUCUAGAGAUAGAUUGGUGCCUUCGGGAACUCAGUGACAGGUGUUGCAUGGCUGUCGUCAGCUCGUGUCGUGAGAUGUUGGGUUAAGUCCCGUAACGAGCGCAACCCUUAUCCUUAGUUGCCAGCACAUAAUGGUGGGCACUUUAAGGAGACUGCCGGUGACAAACCGGAGGAAGGAGAGGAUGAUGUCAAGUCAUCAUGGCCCUUACGGCCUGGGCUACACACGUGCUACAAUGGAGAGUACAAAGGGUUGCCAAGCCGCGAGGUGGAGCUAAUCCCAUAAAACCGUUCGUAGUCCGGAUCGGAGUCUGCAACUCGACUACGUGAAGUCGGAAUCGCUAGUAAUCGUGAAUCAGAAUGUCACGGUGAAUACGUUCCCGGGCCUUGUACACACCGCCCGUCACACCAUGGGAGUGGGUUGCUCCAGAAGUGGCUAGUCUAACCUUCGGGAGGACGGUCACCACGGAGUGAUUCAUGACUGGGGUGAAGUCGAAACAAGGUAGCCGUA